UCCGGCCAUAUCACGCUGAAAUACCGAUUCCUAUACGAUCACCGAAGUUAAGCAACGUCGAGCCUGGUCAGUAACCUGAUGAGUGAGCGGUUGGUAAUACCCUUGCUGUAA